rnacentral:rRNA from 1 species
UACGCAGGGGGCUAGCGUUGCUCGGAAUCACUGGGCGUAAAGCGCACGUAGGCGGGUCCUUAAGUCGGGGGUGAAAUCCUGGAGCUCAACUCCAGAACUGCCUUCGAUACUGAGGAUCUCGAGUCCGGGAGAGGUGAGUGGAACUCCGAGUGUAGAGGUGAAAUUCGUAGAUAUUCGGAAGAACACCAGUGGCGAAGGCGGCUCACUGGCCCGGUACUGACGCUGAGGUGCGAAAGCGUGGGGAGCAAACGGG